AACGCUAGCUACAGGCUUAACACAUGCAAGUCGAGGGGCAGCAUGGUCUUAGCUUGCUAAGGCCGAUGGCGACCGGUGCACGGGUGAGUAACACGUAUCCAACCUGCCGUCUACUCUUGGACAGCCUUCUGAAAGGAAGAUUAAUACAAGAUGGCAUCAUGAGUCCGCAUGUUCACAUGAUUAAAGGUAUUCCGGUAGACGAUGGGGAUGCGUUCCAUUAGAUAGUAGGCGGGGUAACGGCCCACCUAGUCUUCGAUGGAUAGGGGUUCUGAGAGGAAGGUCCCCCACAUUGGAACUGAGACACGGUCCAAACUCCUACGGGAGGCAGCAGUGAGGAAUAUUGGUCAAUGGGCGAGAGCCUGAACCAGCCAAGUAGCGUGAAGGAUGACUGCCCUAUGGGUUGUAAACUUCUUUUAUAAAGGAAUAAAGUCGGGUAUGGAUACCCGUUUGCAUGUACUUUAUGAAUAAGGAUCGGCUAACUCCGUGCCAGCAGCCGCGGUAAUACGGAGGAUCCGAGCGUUAUCCGGAUUUAUUGGGUUUAAAGGGAGCGUAGAUGGAUGUUUAAGUCAGUUGUGAAAGUUUGCGGCUCAACCGUAAAAUUGCAGUUGAUACUGGAUAUCUUGAGUGCAGUUGAGGCAGGCGGAAUUCGUGGUGUAGCGGUGAAAUGCUUAGAUAUCACGAAGAACUCCGAUUG
rnacentral:rRNA from 1 species